AUGGAGGCGGUGAAGAAGAAGCAGCUGGAGGCGCAGCUGGAGGCGGCGGACAAGCUGCUCGCGGCCGGCGACCUCAGGAGGGCCAAGAUGCACGUCGACAUGGCCGUGGCCAUGGACCGCUACGGGGCCUGCCCGGAGGCCCAGCGCGCGCGCGCCGCCUACAGGGUCCUCGCCGCCGACAAGGCCAACCACUACGCCGUCCUCGGCGUCGCCGUGCCGCCCGGCGGCAGGCCCACCAAGGAGUCCCACGACGCCGUCAAGUCCCAGCACAAGGCGCUCUGCGACAUGUUCGACCCCGGCAAGGCCGGCGGCACCAGCGCGGCCAUGGCCGGCGCGUUCAAGCUCGUCAACCAGGCGUUCGCCGCGCUCACGGACAUCAGGAAGAACGAGGGCGCGGUGCCGGGGAGAGCUCCCGCUCCUCGCCACCGCCUGCCGCCGCUGCUCCCGGUGCCGCGUGCCAAGGCCAAGGCGGCGGCCGCGCCAGCCCGGGUGGUCGUGGUGGAGGCCGCCGCCGACGAAGAUCCUCUUGCUGCUGUCUUCCUGGACAAGCCGGUGGUGCCAGAGCACAAGGGGCAUGACGCAGAGGCAGUGGAAGACGAGGAGGAGGACU
rnacentral:rRNA from 1 species